rnacentral:rRNA from 1 species
AAUCAUAAGCGGAGGAAAAGAAACCAACAGGGAUUGCCUCAGUAACGGCGAGUGAAGCGGCAACAGCUCAAAUUUGAAAUCUGGCCCUAGGCCCGAGUUGUAAUUUGCAGAGGAUGUUUCUGGCGAGGUGCUUUCCGAGUUCCCUGGAACGGGACGCCAUAGAGGGUGAGAGCCCCGUACGGUUAGUCGCUAAGCCUCUGUGAAACUCCUUCGACGAGUCGAGUAGUUUGGGAAUGCUGCUCUAAAUGGGAGGUAUACGUCUUCUAAAGCUAAAUACCGGCCAGAGACCGAUAGCGCACAAGUAGAGUGAUCGAAAGAUGAAAAGCACUUUGAAAAGAGGGUUAAAUAGUACGUGAAAUUGUUGAAAGGGAAGCGCUUAUGACCAGACUUGGACCGGUUGAUCAUCCAUCGUUCUCGGUGGUGCACUCUGCCGGUUCAGGCCAGCAUCAGUUUGUCCCGGGGGAUAAAGGCUUUGGGAAUGUGGCUCCUCCGGGAGUGUUAUAGCCCACUGUGUAAUACCCUGGGAUAGACUGAGUUCGCGCUCCGCAAGGAUGCUGGCGUAAUGGUCAUCAGUGACCCGUCUUGAA